GUUUACUAAUAAUAUAUAUGCGUAAAUAAACAGUGAGAUUAUCACAACUAAGUUCUACAUAGUGAAAACAAACGUUUAUUCAUACACAUCAAACAGUCUUUUUAUUAUAAAUCUAUUUAUAAGAUCCGACAUCCAAUGCCCUUAUGUAUCUUCGCCAAGUACUAAACAAGAGAAUAUCUUUUUAAUAUUAAUUAUAAUAAUUUGUAGUAGCUUGUCUUGGGCUUAGAACUUCUUUCCCACUUCGGCCAAACUGCUAAAGUAUAAAAGUUAAUGUUUUAAAAAAAAUCAAAUUUGUCA